UACGGGGGGAGCAAGCGUUGUUCGGAUUUACUGGGCGUAAAGGGCGCGUAGGCGGCCAGCACAAGUCAGUUGUGAAAUCUCCGAGCUUAACUCGGAAAGGUCAACUGAUACUGUGCGGCUAGAGUGCGGAAGGGGCAACUGGAAUUCUUGGUGUAGCGGUGAAAUGCGUAGAUAUCAAGAGGAACACCGAUGGCGAAGGCAGCCAUCUGGACCGACACUGACGCUGAGGCGCGAAAGCGUGGGGAGCAAACAGG
rnacentral:rRNA from 1 species